rnacentral:tRNA from 1 species
ACCCAGGAGGCUCAGUGGGUAGAGCAUGUGACUCUUGAUCUCUGGGUUGUGGGUUUGAGCCCUGUGUUGGGUG